rnacentral:rRNA from 1 species
CCUACGGGAGGCAGCAGUGGGGAAUAUUGCACAAUGGGGGAAACCCUGAUGCAGCGACGCCGCGUGAGUGAAGAAGUAAUUCGUUACGUAAAGCCCUAUCAGCAGGGAAGAAAUACUUACCUUACGGUCAGCAGACGGUACCUGAGUAAGAAGCCCCGGCUAACUACGUGCCAGCAGCCGCGGUAAUACGUAGGGGGCAAGCGUUUUCCGGAUUUACUGGGUGUAAAGGGGGCGUAGACGGUGCGCAAAGUCUGGAGUGAAAUGCCGCGGCUUAACUGCGGAACUGCUGUGGAAACUGGCGAACUAGAGUGGGGGAGAGGUAGGCGGAAUGCGUGGUGUAGCGGUGAAAUGCGUAGAUAU